rnacentral:rRNA from 1 species
GUUGGUGACAAGAGCGGUGGGGGUACACCCGGUCCCAUCUCGAACCCGGUCGUUAAGCCCACCAGCGUCCAUGGUAGUUGAGGGGUAACCCUCCGCGAGAGUAGACCGUCGCCAACA